UGUGAACGCGCCGUGGACUUCAUGGGAGUGAGAAUGCAGACAUGAGUAGCGAGAGACGGGUGAGGAUCCCGUCCGCUGGAUGACCAAGGGUUCCAGGGCCACGUUCAUCGUCCCUGGGUGAGUCGGGUCCUAAGGCGAGGCCGACAGGCGUAGUCGAACGGAUGAACGGGUCGAUAUUCCCGUACCGGCUUUCAGCCGCCAAAACCGAGGCUUGGAGUACUAACCUCCGGGUCCGGGCUUACUGCUCCUUCGGGGGCGGGAUGCCCUGGCCUGUUGGGACCGAUCCUUGUAGUAGGUCAGCGCAGGAGUGACGCAGAAGGGUAGCCGGCCGCGGAGGUGGUUUUCCGUGGUCAAGCACGCAGGGCGUGGGACAGGCAAAUCCGUCCCGCAUGGGUCCGAGGUGCGAUGAUGGGGGCCUUAUGGCCCGAUAUCCGGUGAUCCCGGCUGCCGAGAAAAGCUUCGGCGUCAGGCUCAAAGCCGCCCGUACCCCAAACCGACACUGGUGGUCAGGUAGAGAAUACCAAAGCGAUCGAGCGAAUCCUGGUCAAGGAACUCGGCAAAUCACUCCCGUUCCUUCGGUUUAAGGGAGACCCCCGAUGGUGAACACACUUGCUGUGGGAGCUUUUGGGGGUGGCACAGACCAGGGGGUAGCGACUGUUUACCAAAAACACAGGUGCAUGCGAAGGCGCAAGCCGCUGUAUAUGCACUGACGCCUGCCCGGUGCCGGAAGGUUAAGAGGAUCCGUCAGCCUUCGGGUGAAGCGGUGAAUUCAAGCCCCGGUAAACGGCGGUGGUAACUAUAACCAUCCUAAGGUAGCGAAAUUCCUUGUCGGGUAAGUUCCGACCUGCACGAAUGGCGUAACGACUUCCCCACUGUCUCGACCAGGAGCUCGGCGAAAUUGCAGUACGAGUAAAGAUGCUCGUUAAGCGCAGAAGGACGAAAAGACCCCGGGACCUUUACUAUACCUUGGUAUUGGCGUUAGGCGCGGAUUGUGUAGCAUAGGCGGGAGGCUUCGAAGCGGGUGCGCCAGCAUUCGUGGAGCCGCAAGGUGAAAUACCGCUCUGUUCUCGUUUGACGUCUAACCUCGACAAGUCAUCCUUGUCAGGGACAGUGCCUGGCGGGUAGUUCAACUGGGGCGGUUGCCUCCCAAAGAGUAACGGAGGCGCUCAAAGGUCCGCUCAGCCCGGUUGGCAAUCGGGUGUCGAGUGUAAUCGCACAAGCGGGCUUGACUGCGAGGACGACGGUCCGAGCAGGGACGAAAGUCGGAGAUAGUGAUCCGGUGCCGGCGCACGGGCGCGGCAUCGCUCAACGGAUAAAAGGUACCCCGGGGAUAACAGGCUGAUCAUUCCCAAGAGUCCAUAUCGACGGGAUGGUUUGGCACCUCGAUGUCGGCUCGUCGCAUCCUGGGGCUGGAGCAGGUCCCAAGGGUUCGGCUGUUCGCCGAUUAAAGCGGCACGCGAGCUGGGUUCAGAACGUCGUGAGACAGUUUGGUCUCUAUCCUCUGCGCUCGUUGGAAUCCUGAGGAGGCCUGCCCAUAGUACGAGAGGACCUGGGUGGACGAACCUCUGGUAUGCCGGUUGUCGCGCCAGCGGCACGGCCGGUUGGCUACGUUCGGGAGGGAUAACCGCUGAAAGCAUCUAAGCGGGAAGCCUGCUCCAAGAUUAGGAUUCCGUACGGUCUUGAACCGUUGUAGCCCGCAUGUUGAACACGUGUUUGAUAGGCCGGAGGUGGAAGCCCCGUGAGGGGUGGAGCCGACCGGUACUAACGGGCGACGGCGACACAAC
rnacentral:rRNA from 1 species